rnacentral:rRNA from 1 species
CCUACGGGGGGCAGCAGUGGGGAAUAUUGGGCAAUGGGCGCAAGCCUGACCCAGCAACGCCGCGUGAAGGAAGAAGGCCUUCUGGUUGUAAACUUCUUUUAUUAGGGACGAAAGAAAUGACGGUACCUCAUUAUUACGCCACGGCUAACUACGUGCCAGCAGCCGCUGCAAUACGUAGGUGGCAAGCGUUAUCCGGAUUUACUGGGUGUAAAGGGCGUGUAGGCGGGACUGCAAGUCAGAUGUGAAAAUUAUGGGCUCAACCCAUAACCUGCAUUUGAAACUGUCGUGCUUGAGUGAGGGAGAGGUAGGCGGAAUGCCGGGUGUAGCGGUGAAAUGCGUAGAUAUACGGAGGAACACCAGUGGCGAAGGCGGCCUGCUGGACAUUAACUGACGCUGAGGCGCGAAAGCGUGGGGAGCAAACAGGAUUAGAUACCCGGGUAGUC